rnacentral:rRNA from 1 species
UGGAGUACCUUUACCGGCGGGGCCACACCCGUUCCCAUUCCGAAUACGGUAGUUAAGCCCGUCAAGGCCGAUGGUACUAUAGUAGUAAUGCUACGGGAGAGUAGGACGGUGCUCCAU